rnacentral:sRNA from 1 species
AGCGGAGGCGCGGACUUUUCUUUUGGGGGGUCUCGCCGGCUCGCCGCGCUCCCCACCUUGCCUGCGCCCGCCCGGAGCCAGCGGUUCUCCAAGCACCCAGCAUCCUGCGAGACGCGCCGCGCACCGACGGAGGGAACAUGGGCAGAGCAAUGGUGGCCAGGCUCGGGCUGGGGCUGCUGCUGCUGGCACUGCUCCUACCCACGCAGUCCGCUGCGCUCCCGAGCCUUCCUCAAUUCUUUGAUGGGGGAGGGGCGCGG